rnacentral:rRNA from 1 species
AUUGAACGCUGGCGGCAUGCCUUACACAUGCAAGUCGAACGGUAACGCGGGGCAACCUGGCGACGAGUGGCGAACGGGUGAGUAAUGCAUCGGAACGUGCCCAGUAGUGGGGGAUAGCCCGGCGAAAGCCGGAUUAAUACCGCAUACGACCUACGGGUGAAAGCGGGGGACCGUAAGGCCUCGCGCUAUUGAAGCGGCCGAUGUCAGAUUAGGUAGUUGGUAGGGUAAAAGCCUACCAAGCCUAUGAUCUGUAGCUGGUCUGAGAGGACGACCAGCCACACUGGGACUGAGACACGGCCCAGACUCCUACGGGAGGCAGCAGUGGGGGAAUUUUGGACAAUGGGCGCAAGCCUGAUCCAGCCAUGCCGCGUGCGGGAAGAAGGCCUCGGUGUAACG